rnacentral:lncRNA from 1 species
UUGCUCUGCUUUGUUCUGAAAUCCCGGUCUUGUUUCCCAGCAUGAGCAAAGCACAGUUCUCAUCUAUGUAAGUGCAGACUUGCUGAUCUCAGCUAGCACUCCCCUGAAAUGGGCAGAGGCCUGUUUCAGUUGAAAGCAGAAUAUGUUAUUUUUUUAUGCUUAUGUCUGUAGUUUAUAGAAACUAUAGGCUGGUUUGGGUUGGAAGCAACCUUAAAGCUCAUACAGUUCCAAGCCCCCUGCUGCAGGCAGGGGCACUUCACACUGGACCAGGUUGCUCCAAGCCCUGUCCAACCUGGCCCUGAACACUGCCAGGGAUGGGGCAGCCACAGCUUCCCUGGGCAACCUGUGCCAGCGCCUCAGCACCCUCAUAGUGAAGAAUUACAGUUAACAGUAGUAAGUAUUCAGAGUAUUGUGCUAAACAUGCUGAAGGGUUUGGUGUCUGACCUUUAAAAUGCCCACAGCUGUUCACUUAACACGUGCUGUACUCCCACUGACCCCAGCGUGCGUGCUGCUGAGUGCGAGUGCAAGCACGCUGUGGUUCAAACUCCUCUGCUGGUAACCUGGGUGCUUGUAGUGUUGCUGCUCUCUGUCGAUUCCCAGUUUUCCAAAUUCAUGUGGUGAAGAAAGAGAUGUUGCUGCUCAUUUUCCCUCAGAAGACCCUUAGAACAAGAAGUUUGACUUUUGGAUGCCAUUUUGGCAUGCUCAUAACCAAGGGAAAAGUAGUGUGUCUCAGUCCAAUGGCCAGUGUACGUAAUUUUGUUUUACAGACUAACCACUUACGGUGUUCACCUGAGCAGAACAGUUUGGAAACUUGUGUCAUAAUUCAGUAAUGCUAGCUUGUAGCAUCCAGAUGAUGGACUGGAGAAUAUGGAAUUUAAACCAGUGUGUCAUGGAUGUGUGUCACGAUGUAGAAGAGCAAUGGCUCCCUCUUUGCUAGGCUUACCUCUUGCCUGCUCCUGCAAGGUCUUCGUGCCUGGGACAUCUCGUGGAUGUGCAUGAACAGCUGAGCCAUGGUGUGGCUGUGUCUGUGCUGCCCUUCUUUUUCCUUCCUGCUGCAUAAGGGUUGUUCAUCGACAAAGCAUGGCUGGGAUAGCUGCUCUUGUUGCACUUUACUGCCUGAACUCUAUUGUUCAGUCUUAUUUUAAAGAAAUGGAAUCAUGGUUUUGUACUUACUUUUAACUUUUCUUAAAUAAAAAGUAUGCAA